CGAGGGUGAAAGACAUGGGUAGUGAGACGAUGAGUACUGAAUUCCGUAUCACUAUUCUGUUUUUCUCCUUCUU
rfam:Parastrongyloides trichosuri strain KNP genome assembly, scaffold: PTRK_scaffold0000001